rnacentral:rRNA from 2 species
AGAGUUUGAUCCUGGCUCAGGAUGAACGCUGGCGGCGUGCCUAAUACAUGCAAGUCGAGCGAACGGACGAGAAGCUUGCUUCUCUGAUGUUAGCGGCGGACGGGUGAGUAACACGUGGAUAACCUACCUAUAAGACUGGGAUAACUUCGGGAAACCGGAGCUAAUACCGGAUAAUAUUUUGAACCGCAUGGUUCAAAAGUGAAAGACGGUCUUGCUGUCACUUAUAGAUGGAUCCGCGCUGCAUUAGCUAGUUGGUAAGGUAACGGCUUACCAAGGCAACGAUGCAUAGCCGACCUGAGAGGGUGAUCGGCCACACUGGAACUGAGACACGGUCCAGACUCCUACGGGAGGCAGCAGUAGGGAAUCUUCCGCAAUGGGCGAAAGCCUGACGGAGCAACGCCGCGUGAGUGAUGAAGGUCUUCGGAUCGUAAAACUCUGUUAUUAGGGAAGAACAUAUGUGUAAGUAACUGUGCACAUCUUGACGGUACCUAAUCAGAAAGCCACGGCUAACUACGUGCCAGCAGCCGCGGUAAUACGUAGGUGGCAAGCGUUAUCCGGAAUUAUUGGGCGUAAAGCGCGCGUAGGCGGUUUUUUAAGUCUGAUGUGAAAGCCCACGGCUCAACCGUGGAGGGUCAUUGGAAACUGGAAAACUUGAGUGCAGAAGAGGAAAGUGGAAUUCCAUGUGUAGCGGUGAAAUGCGCAGAGAUAUGGAGGAACACCAGUGGCGAAGGCGACUUUCUGGUCUGUAACUGACGCUGAUGUGCGAAAGCGUGGGGAUCAAACAGGAUUAGAUACCCUGGUAGUCCACGCCGUAAACGAUGAGUGCUAAGUGUUAGGGGGUUUCCGCCCCUUAGUGCUGCAGCUAACGCAUUAAGCACUCCGCCUGGGGAGUACGACCGCAAGGUUGAAACUCAAAGGAAUUGACGGGGACCCGCACAAGCGGUGGAGCAUGUGGUUUAAUUCGAAGCAACGCGAAGAACCUUACCAAAUCUUGACAUCCUUUGACAACUCUAGAGAUAGAGCCUUCCCCUUCGGGGGACAAAGUGACAGGUGGUGCAUGGUUGUCGUCAGCUCGUGUCGUGAGAUGUUGGGUUAAGUCCCGCAACGAGCGCAACCCUUAAGCUUAGUUGCCAUCAUUAAGUUGGGCACUCUAAGUUGACUGCCGGUGACAAACCGGAGGAAGGUGGGGAUGACGUCAAAUCAUCAUGCCCCUUAUGAUUUGGGCUACACACGUGCUACAAUGGACAAUACAAAGGGCAGCGAAACCGCGAGGUCAAGCAAAUCCCAUAAAGUUGUUCUCAGUUCGGAUUGUAGUCUGCAACUCGACUACAUGAAGCUGGAAUCGCUAGUAAUCGUAGAUCAGCAUGCUACGGUGAAUACGUUCCCGGGUCUUGUACACACCGCCCGUCACACCACGAGAGUUUGUAACACCCGAAGCCGGUGGAGUAACCUUUUAGGAGAUAGCCGUCGAAGGUGGGACAAAUGAUUGGGGUGAAGUCGUAACAAGGUAGCCGUAUCGGAAGGUGCGGCUGGAUCACCU